rnacentral:rRNA from 1 species
UACGUAGGGGGCAAGCGUUGUCCGGAUUCAUUGGGCGUAAAGCGCGUGUAGGCGGCCAGGUAGGUCCGUGUGAAAACUUGAGGCUCAACCUCAAGAGGUCAUCGGAAACCAUCUGGCUAGAGUCCGGAAGAGGAGAGUGGAAUUCCCGGUGUAGCGGUGAAAUGCGCAGAUAUCGGGAAGAACACCCAUGGCGAAGGCGAGCUCUCUGGGACGGUACUGGACGCUGAGACGC